UGGUGCACUCUUGGGAUGUCAUG
rnacentral:piRNA from 1 species